rnacentral:misc_RNA from 1 species
AAGUCGUAACAAGGUUUCCGUAGGUGAACCUGCGGAAGGAUCAUUAACACGUAUCCAACACUUUCUUAGAAAAGGUAGCAAUCCCUGGUAAAUCAUUGCCGAACAGUUUUGAUUCAGGGACUUCUGCGUAGACUGUGCUUGAGCGUGAGGCAAGUGGCCUGGCAUUCCUCUGCUUGUUGGUGUCUGAAAGUGUCACCAGCUCUGUACGAAUGGCGCAGUCACGAUCGCUAGAGGCCGACACGGCCGGCGACCGGGUCACUGGGCGCGAGCCCCCCUCGUCACCUUUGCAUGAAAACGGGCCUGCGCUUAAUUGUGCGGCCACCAAACUCGAACAACUGUUAACAAUGGAUAUCUUGGUUCUC